rnacentral:rRNA from 1 species
UACGAAGGGGGCUAGCGUUGUUCGGAAUUACUGGGCGUAAAGGGCGCGUAGGCGGCGUGUCAAGUCAGGCGUGAAAGCCCCGGGCUCAACCUGGGAACCGCGCUUGAGACUGGCAUGCUCGAGUUCGGGAGAGGAUGGUGGAAUUCCCAGUGUAGAGGUGAAAUUCGUAGAUAUUGGGAAGAACACCGAUGGCGAAGGCAGCCAUCUGGACCGACACUGACGCUGAGGCGCGAAAGCCAGGGGAGCAAACGGG